AAUAGAAAAGUUAGAGAAAGGCUCUCCAUUCUCUCUAGAAUUUCCCCCCCUCCCCCAUCUUUCAUUUCGCCUCCACCCCUCUCAUUCGGCCCACCCAAUUCCCUUUCCUCCCUUCCCUUCCACUUCGGCUCACCAUCUCCUCCUAUCCUCUUCCAUCGAUCUUGCAUGGAGCUAUUCAUGCCUUGUCAGCGGAUGAAUGUGGGUCUUCUUUCCUUUUUUGAUUUGUAAUGAGCCAAGUCUGAGGGUACUAGAUCAUGGGUUUUCUCUCUUUGAUCAGUAGGGAGCUUGAUCUUUGUGUGUGCUAGAUUUGGAGUUAUGAUUUGGUGUGGAGGCACUAUGGUUGGGGUUUCGGAUCUUGAUGGUUGCUGGUGUUUUGGAGUUUUGGAAGAUGGUUCUUUGCGAAUCUAGUUUAUGUGUUUUCUGUUCAUUUGCGUCUUAAAUCAUAUCUUGUUUUCCUCUUGUCGGAUCAUGGGUCAGUCUGGUUAUCUGGAUUCGCUGAUUUAGGGCCCCUAUGGUUUCGGCUGCUUUGAUCUAAAGUCCUUUCGGUGACGAUUUGGGCUCUUGGGUUUGUCACGAUCUGAGCUUAUGAUGGUUUCACGUAUAUCUUGCUCAUGACCAAAUUGAAAAGGAAACUAAUAAAUCCACAACAUAAAAUGUUAUUUUUACAACAAAAGUGUCGUUAUAGAUCUUAUAGCGACGAUUUUUACUGUCAUUAUAUAUCUACAACGACACUUUUGUUGUAAAAAUAAAAAAAAGUGUUGUGGAUUUAAUAAUUUCUGAAAAAAAAUAGUAUGCAUACAAGUCAAUCAUGUUUGAUGAUAAAACAUAUAUUUUAUAACAAUCUUA
rnacentral:lncRNA from 1 species